rnacentral:rRNA from 1 species
AGGACGAACGCUGGCGGCGUGCUUAACACAUGCAAGUCGAGCGGAAAGGCCUUUCGGGGUACUCGAGCGGCGAACGGGUGAGUAACACGUGAGUAAUCUGCCCAUCGCUUCAGGAUAGCCAUCGGAAACGGUGAUUAAUACUGGAUAUGACAUUCCUUCGCAUGUUGGGGUGUGGAAAGUUUUUUCGGCGGUGGAUGUGCUCGCGGCCUAUCAGCUUGUUGGUGGGGUAAUGGCCUACCAAGGCUUUGACGGGUAGCCGGCCUGAGAGGGUGACCGGCCACACUGGGACUGAGACACGGCCCAGACUCCUACGGGAGGCAGCAGUGGGGAAUAUUGGACAAUGGGCGGAAGCCUGAUCCAGCAACGCCGCGUGAGGAUGACGGCCUUCGGUUGUAACUCUUCAGCACAGACGAAGUUUGUCGUUUUUUGGUGUAAGUGACGGUAUGUGCAGAAGAAGGACCGGACCAACUACGUGCCAGCACGCCGAC